rnacentral:lncRNA from 1 species
GGGGGGGGUUGAAUUAGAGGGUGUAUUAAGGAUUGUGCCCUCUGGGGCUUGUUGGUUGAGCAUCUGUGCCCAAAAAGGGAGGUUUCAUAGGACACCACAAAAAAUGGGAUACUAAUGAGUGACUUUACAGCUGAAGCUAGAAUUUGGUUAUCCAUUAUUUACAGUCGGGCCUCUCCCACUACCAACUUGAAGAAUGUUCUAUCGACGUGUGCUCAGAUGGUGGCCUGUAUAUUAGACAAAAUUCCUUUGAAUGUUGCCCGCUUUGUGCUUAUGAAGAUUCGGCA